rnacentral:rRNA from 1 species
CGCCCUUAGAGUUUGAUCCUGGCUCAGAUUGAACGCUGGCGGCAGGCCUAACACAUGCAAGUCGAACGGUAACAGGAAACAGCUUGCUGUUUCGCUGACGAGUGGCGGACGGGUGAGUAAUGUCUGGGAAACUGCCUGAUGGAGGGGGAUAACUACUGGAAACGGUAGCUAAUACCGCAUAACGUCGCAAGACCAAAGAGGGGGACCUUCGGGCCUCUUGCCAUCGGAUGUGCCCAGAUGGGAUUAGCUUGUUGGUGGGGUAACGGCUCACCAAGGCGACGAUCCCUAGCUGGUCUGAGAGGAUGACCAGCCACACUGGAACUGAGACACGGUCCAGACUCCUACGGGAGGCAGCAGUGGGGAAUAUUGCACAAUGGGCGCAAGCCUGAUGCAGCCAUGCCGCGUGUAUGAAGAAGGCCUUCGGGUUGUAAAGUACUUUCAGCGGGGAGGAAGGGAGUAAAGUUAAUACCUUUGCUCAUUGACGUUACCCGCAGAAGAAGCACCGGCUAACUCCGUGCCAGCAGCCGCGGUAAUACGGAGGGUGCAAGCGUUAAUCGGAAUUACUGGGCGUAAAGCGCACGCAGGCGGUUUGUUAAGUCAGAUGUGAAACCCCCGGGCUCAACCUGGGAACUGCAUCUGAUACUGGCAAGCUUGAGUCUCGUAGAGGGGGGUAGAAUUCCAGGUGUAGCGGUGAAAUGCGUAGAGAUCUGGAGGAAUACCGGUGGCGAAGGCGGCCCCCUGGACGAAGACUGACGCUCAGGUGCGAAAGCGUGGGGAGCAAACAGGAUUAGAUACCCUGGUAGUCCACGCCGUAAACGAUGUCGACUUGGAGGUUGUGCCCUUGAGGCGUGGCUUCCGGAGCUAACGCGUUAAGUCGACCGCCUGGGGAGUACGGCCGCAAGGUUAAAACUCAAAUGAAUUGACGGGGGCCCGCACAAGCGGUGGAGCAUGUGGUUUAAUUCGAUGCAACGCGAAGAACCUUACCUGGUCUUGACAUCCACGGAAGUUUUCAGAGAUGAGAAUGUGCCUUCGGGAACCGUGAGACAGGUGCUGCGUGGCUGUCGUCAGCUCGUGUUGUGAAAUGUUGGGUUAAGUCCCGCAACGAGCGCAACCCUUAUCCUUUGUUGCCGGCGGUCCGGCCGGGAACUCAAAGGAGACUGCCAGUGAUAAACUGGAGGAAGGUGGGGAUGACGUCAAGUCAUCAUGGCCCUUACGACCAGGGCUACACACGUGCUACAAUGGCGCAUACAAAGAGAAGCGACCUCGCGAGAGCAAGCGGACCUCAUAAAGUGCGUCGUAGUCCGGAUUGGAGUCUGCAACUCGACUCCAUGAAGUCGGAAUCGCUAGUAAUCGUGGAUCAGAAUGCCACGGUGAAUACGUUCCCGGGCCUUGUACACACCGCCCGUCACACCAUGGGAGUGGGUUGCAAAAGAAGUAGGUAGCUUAACCUUCGGGAGGGCGCUUACCACUUUGUGAUUCAUGACUGGGGUGAAGUCGUAACAAGGUAGCCGUA